AUGAACGCUAGCUACAGGCUUAACACAUGCAAGUCGAGGGGCAGCAUGAACUUAGCUUGCUAAGUUUGAUGGCGACCGGCGCACGGGUGAGUAACACGUAUCCAACCUGCCGAUGACUCGGGGAUAGCCUUUCGAAAGAAAGAUUAAUACCCGAUGGCAUAGUUCUUCCGCAUGGUGGAACUAUUAAAGAACUUCGGUCAUCGAUGGGGAUGCGUUCCAUUAGGUUGUUGGCGGGGUAACGGCCCACCAAGCCUUCGAUGGAUAGGGGUUCUGAGAGGAAGGUCCCCCACAUUGGAACUGAGACACGGUCCAAACUCCUACGGGAGGCAGCAGUGAGGAAUAUUGGUCAAUGGACGAGAGUCUGAACCAGCCAAGUAGCGUGAAGGAUGACUGCCCUAUGGGUUGUAAACUUCUUUUAUACGGGAAUAAAGUGAGGCACGUGUGCCUUUUUGUAUGUACCGUAUGAAUAAGGAUCGGCUAACUCCGUGCCAGCAGCCGCGGUAAUACGGAGGAUCCGAGCGUUAUCCGGAUUUAUUGGGUUUAAAGGGAGCGUAGGCGGACGCUUAAGUCAGUUGUGAAAGUUUGCGGCUCAACCGUAAAAUUGCAGUUGAUACUGGGUGUCUUGAGUACAGUAGAGGCAGGCGGAAUUCGUGGUGUAGCGGUGAAAUGCUUAGAUAUCACGAAGAACUCCGAUUGCGAAGGCAGCCUGCUGGACUGUAACUGACGCUGAUGCUCGAAAGUGUGGGUAUCAAACAGGAUUAGAUACCCUGGUAGUCCACACAGUAAACGAUGAAUACUCGCUGUUUGCGAUAUACAGUAAGCGGCCAAGCGAAAGCGUUAAGUAUUCCACCUGGGGAGUACGUUCGCAAGAAUGAAACUCAAAGGAAUUGACGGGGGCCCGCACAAGCGGUGGAGCAUGUGGUUUAAUUCGAAGCAACGCGAAGAACCUUACCAGGUCUUGACAUCCUUUGACCACUCUAGAGAUAGAGCUUCCCCUUCGGGGGCAAAGUGACAGGUGGUGCAUGGUUGUCGUCAGCUCGUGCCGUGAGGUGUCGGCUUAAGUGCCAUAACGAGCGCAACCCUUAUCGAUAGUUACCAUCAGGUUAUGCUGGGGACUCUGUCGAGACUGCCGUCGUAAGAUGUGAGGAAGGUGGGGAUGACGUCAAAUCAGCACGGCCCUUACGUCCGGGGCUACACACGUGUUACAAUGGGGGGUACAGAAGGCAGCUACACGGCGACGUGAUGCUAAUCCCGAAAGCCUCUCUCAGUUCGGAUUGGAGUCUGCAACCCGACUCCAUGAAGCUGGAUUCGCUAGUAAUCGCGCAUCAGCCACGGCGCGGUGAAUACGUUCCCGGGCCUUGUACACACCGCCCGUCAAGCCAUGAAAGCCGGGGGUACCUGAAGUGCGUAACCGCAAGGAGCGCCCUAGGGUAAAACUGGUGAUUGGGGCU
rnacentral:rRNA from 1 species